AGAAAGAAGAAGAAGUUUGCCAUUCAAUCACGAGUUACAGUCAGACUCAGUACUAGUUUCAACAGCCUACAGUUAGCAAAGUCAUCGACUACCAUCGUUUAACUUCGGUUUUUGGCAAUCAAGUGUGGGAGGGACCUCAAGACAACUGUGUGGCGAAUGCUUGAGAGUAUCUUCUCUAAUCGCCUUUCCAUUAACACAACCUGGACUGGUGCAGGGGAAAAAGCAUGUUUUAGAGACAUGUUCCUGAAGACCAUUGUUCAAAGAGCCAUCCGGAAGAAC